ACCGCACACUCUUAAAACCUAGCACUGGUCCCUGGGUGUUUGGGUGUCAGAAGUGUGCCACAGUAAGCAGGCUAGGUUUCGCUGACAACCAGGAGGGCUGCUGCCGAGUGACUGGUCGUUUGAUAGUGACCUGAGCCACACCU
rnacentral:snoRNA from 10 species